rnacentral:rRNA from 1 species
AGAGUUGAUUCUGGCUCAGGAUGAACGCUAGCUACAGGCUUAACACAUGCAAGUCGAGGGGUAGGCAGGGUAGCAAUACCGCUGACGACCGGCGCACGGGUGAGUAACACGUAUCCAACCUUCCCAUAACUCAGGGAUAGCCUUUCGAAAGAAAGAUUAAUACCUGAUAGUACUUUUUCUAAGGCAUCUUGAGAAAGUUAAAGAUUUAUUGGUUAUGGACGGGGAUGCGUUCCAUUAGAUAGUUGGUGAGGUAACGGCUCACCAAGUCUUCGAUGGAUAGGGGUUCUGAGAGGAAGGUCCCCCACAUUGGUACUGAGACACGGACCAAACUCCUACGGGAGGCAGCAGUGAGGAAUAUUGGUCAAUGGGCGAGAGCCUGAACCAGCCAAGUAGCGUGAAGGAAUGAAGGUCCUAUGGAUUGUAAACUUCUUUUAUAGUAGAAUAAAGUGAUCCACGUGUGGAUUUUUGUUAUGUAUACUAUGAAUAAGGAUCGGCUAACUCCGUGCCAGCCGCGGC